rnacentral:rRNA from 1 species
CCUACGGGCGGCAGCAGUGAGGAAUAUUGGUCAAUGGUCGGGAGACUGAACCAGCCAAGCCGCGUGAGGGAUGAAGGUACAGAGUAUCGUAAACCUCUUUUGUCAGGGAACAAAGGCGGGGACGUGUCCCCGGAUGAGUGUACCUGAAGAAAAAGCAUCGGCUAACUCCGUGCCAGCAGCCGCGGUAAUACGGAAGGUCCGGGCGUUAUCCGGAUUUAUUGGGUUUAAAGGGAGCGUAGGCCGCAUGUCAAGCGUGCUGUGAAAUGUCCGGGCUCAACCCGGGCCUUGCAGCGCGAACUGGCGUGCUUGAGUCCGCGGAAAGCAGGCGGAAUUCGUCGUGUAGCGGUGAAAUGCUUAGAUAUGACGAAGAACCCCGAUUGCGAAGGCAGCUUGCUGCAGCGGAACUGACGCUGAUGCUCGAAAGCGCGGGUAUCGAACAGGAUUAGAUACCCUUGUAGUC